ensembl:lncRNA
CUCUGACGUGCGAAACACAACAGCCAAUAGGAAAACACAACGAAAUUAACCUCUUACGGAGAGUGUAGGACCCUAUAAGCAGAGGACGGACCCUUCUGAUUGGACAGGCGGACUGUCUGUCAACAGGAAAUGAGGACUCGCUCGCUUGCUAGACCUUCAUUCCGCGCGAAAAUACGGCGAAAGAAAGAAUGUUUGUCGUCAAAAGUUGUUGGCGAACCAGCCGAUUUUUUGCAGUGGUUGUGGACAGAUACUUGGAAAAAGUCUGGAGUCUUUGGCUCAACCCACCAAUGGACCAACUUCAGUAUCACAGAAUGCUCCAUCCAACUCAACCCCAAGAUUUAAAACCUUUCUGGAAUACCGGAAGUAAAAAGGAGAGGAAAGGCAAAAGUUUUCCUUUGGCAAAAUGCAGGACAAGAAAAAGGAAAAGAGGAAAGUGCAGACGGACUUUGAAGAAGAUAUCCAUUUAUUUCUGUGGCUUGAUGUUUCACCUCUGAAACCUGGAAAAGUGUCUGACAUUUCUGACUCUGACACAGAGAUUGUGAUUAAAAAGAGCCCUCACAACAUUUGAGCUAGCUGACACGUUGCCAUGUGAACCUGUGCAUGAAAGCAGUGCAAUACAGAGGAUAUCCGUCCAAGUACCUCCGGAUGUCCUGGAAUGGCGAGAACAUAUUACAGCAACUACACAGACCUGUAUGCGCCUAUCGUCAGUGAUGACGACGAAGAUCUAACUGUCAAACAAAAUAAUGAGGCAUCUCCUAGAACCAAUCAAAGUCAGCAGAUUCCACGUGUCCAGAUCUAAUGUAUGGGAUGGUGCUGUCAGAGGUUUUCAGCGUUGCACGUACUCUGAGGAGAAUGACAUGUUUGUGAAGUUUACCGAUGACGCUGGCUCCCAUGAAGAAGGCCUAGACACCGGCGGGCCGAGGCGGGAAUUCCUCACGCUUCAGAUGAAUGAUCUGAUCUUUGACGGACCUCCAGAAAGCCGUUACCUGGUGUACAACUCUACAGAUUCAAAGAAGAACUUUUUGUUCGCACUCCAGCAGCAUCCGUGUGUGUUGGCCCCACUCUUGUGCCACUCUCAGACAAACCUUACAGCUGCCGACAUGGAAAGCCUGUUCACACCACUCCUCAGUCCAGCAGAAAGUAAUAGUCAGCAGAAAGAAGGCAAAGCUCUUGGAUUUUGGGCAGAUUUUCUUCUUGAUUGGGAAGGUUUGUUAUAGCUUUUUUAUAUGGUGUUUGUAAAAAGUGAACCAGCCCAG